GUACGGAAUUCGCCAGAGAUGGCUUAGUGCUCGAAAGAGAACCGUAACACAGGUGCUGCAUGGCUGUCGUCAGCUCGUGUCGUGAGGAUGUUGGGUUAAGUCCCGCAACGAGCGCAACCCUUGUCAUUAGUUGCUACAUUUAGUUGGGCACUCUAAUGAGACUGCCGGUGACGAAACCGGAGGAAGGUGGGGAUGACGUCAAGUCCUCAUGGCCCUUAUAGGUAGGGCUACACACGUCAUACAAUGGAUGGUACAAAGGGUCGCCAACCCGCGAGGGGGAGCCAAUCCCAUAAAACCAUUCGUAGUCCGGAUCGCAGUCUGCAACUCGACUGCGUGAAGUCGGAAUCGCUAGUAAUCGUGGAUCAGAAUGUCACGGUGAAUACGUUCCCGGGUCUU
rnacentral:rRNA from 1 species